rnacentral:rRNA from 1 species
GAUGAACGCUGGCGGCGUGCCUAAUACAUGCAAGUCGAACGAAACUUCUUUAUCACCGAGUGCUUGCACUCACCGAUAAAGAGUUGAGUGGCGAACGGUGAGUAACACGUGGGCAACCUGCCCAAAAGAGGGGGAUAACACUUGGAAACAGGUGCUAAUACCGCAUAACCAUAGUUACCGCAUGGUAACUAUGUAAAAGGUGGCUAUACUACCGCUUUUGGAUGGGCCCGCGGCGCAUUAGCUAGUUGGUAGGGUAAAGGCUUACCAAGGCAAUGAUGCGUAGCCGAAUUGAGAGGUUGAUCGGCCACAUUGGGACUGAGACACGGCCCAAACUCCUACGGGAGGCAGCAGUAGGGAAUCUUCCACAAUGGGCGAAAGCCUGAUGGAGCAACGCCGCGUGGGUGAAGAAGGUCUUCGGAUCGUAAAACCCUGUUGUUAGAGAAGAAAGUGCGUGAGAGUAACUGUUCACGUUUCGACGGUAUCUAACCAGAAAGCCACGGCUAACUACGUG